ensembl:lncRNA
GUAAGUGUGUGCAUGUUUUUUUGUGUGUGAAUCAGCUGAGAGUCUGUUUUCUAAUGCAGGGGAUAUUCUAAGGGUUAAUCUCUUGAGAAAACAUCUUCCCCCUCAACACAUUUAUGGAUGCCAGGCUCUGGGACAGCAAAACAUCCCAAAGUGAAGCACUGUUCCAUUGCAAAAUCUAUUGGAGGUUUUGGCUUUGUGAGAUGCACAACCUCACGCCGUAACAGAACAACAAAGGGUAGAAUGGAGGGGGACUUAGGAGGUGGACAAGAUCCUUGCCCUGGCUCAUCGGCUCUCUGUCUCCACCCUGGGCUCCUCUCCCACCUGCUCCGCCACUGUCAGUCGGCCCUCUGGAGCCAUCAUGUUGGCUGCGGUCUGGGUCCAUCCUGGCUCCUCCCUCCGUCUGGUUCGCCAUGGUUCCUUCUGUCUCCGUCCUGGCUCUUCCCUCCGUCUGAUCUGCCAUGGUUCCUCCUGAUCCCUCCAUGGCUCCUCUUUCCACCUGCCCUUCGCUGUCUUCUGGGAGUGCCACGGACAGGGAAACGAUCUCUGUGGUCGUGGCAGGACAGACAGACAGUUCAGGGCAGACGAACAGUUCAUAAAUGGUCACCUUGGCCAUAUUGGGACAGGCAGAGAGUUCAGAAGACAGGAGAGGAGGUGUGUCAGAAUAAUUCUUUAAGAUCCUCUGAGUACAGCUGCAGCUCACCCUCAGCGUUGGAACACCCUCCACGCCCUCGCUCUCCAUAAUCCUCUAUGGCGAGCCUUGUUGCCGGCUCACGCA